UUUAAGCCCAUGCAUAUUCCUAGUUAAUAAAGCAAUAUAAAAGAGCAGGUUUUUUGAAUUAUUAGAACCAUUUAGCAGUUUCUUCAGUAAAAAAACAACAAAGAGAUAUAACUUCUAAAAUUUUUUAUCACAAUGAUUGCGCCUGUGGUAUUCAUUUUAUUAAUAGUAAGCUCUGCGUGUUUACAUAAAAGCCCAAAGGUCAUUUCUUUGAAUGAGGAUUCCGGUUUAUCCAUCGAUACUGUAAAAGACCCAACUGUGAAUGAAAAGCGAUUGUUUACUUGUGAUCACAACUGCUGGUACAAUGAUUGGAAACACCGUGACCAGAGAGCA
rnacentral:lncRNA from 1 species